CAAGCAAACACUGUUAACUAUCCAAUCUCUGCAAUUGCAAGCAACCGAAGAUAAGGAAAUGGAUGUGUCAUGUGGAAUAGCUGGUAUAAAUUUAGAACCAAGUAGUGCAACUGUCAACAGCGGCCUGGUUCCAUCGACCUCAAUGUUUGAAUCUACAGAGCCACGAAGUUCUAGCGCAAUGGCUGAGUAUUGCAUAGGAUAGCCUAGGCAGUGUUUGAGCCAGCCUUCCACAUUCCGUCCCAUCCCCUACGUUUAUCAUUAUAAAUCCUACUCAAGCACAAAGUCAUCUCCUCUCUGGCACCACGGGCAAUGGUGGAGGAUUUGCAUCAGGUGCUGGAUCACUUGCUGCAUCACAGCAAAACCUAAAGGCUCUACUGCCAGCUUACCGUCCUGCCCCUGAUUAUGAAACAGCAGUACGUGUCAAGUACGGUGACGUACAUCUUAUUGUACUCAAUCCGAGUUCUCCUGUCCAGCAACCAACGUCGGUUGCCGUUCAUCCGACCGCUACAAACGCUUUCCGAGCACAGCCACAGCACAAUGCUCAACAGCAGUUGCAGAUGAUAAAAAUGUAUAAACCACCUCCACCUUAUCCAUACAGCAAAGUUGGCAGCAAUAGCAGCCCUGAUUUAGUAGUGGCAGCUAUAAAUGGGCUUGCGUCUGCCACUUCUGGAUCCAUGAGCCAUUUACCUGUUACUCUAGCUCAGGCAGAAAACUCUGCAAUGGUGCGAAAUGGUGAGCCCAUUUAUCAAAAUAUUCCUUUACGCCAGCCGGGAAGCCAACACAAUCUUUCCCCCUCUACCUGCGCCAACACUCAAACUGCUUCGCAACCAGAAGGAAAUGGGGUUUGCCUGUUCGUAGCUCGGCUCGAUCGGCUGUCAUAAAUCGUGUUCGAACAGAGUCGCCCUCAUCAGCGUCUAAACGGGGUACCAAUGACUCGACGUCCAAUUCUGUCUCCAAUUUCCAUCACUCGUCGUCGUCGUCAGCUAAGGCUGCAAAUACGGAUGCAACUCUCGUCAAAGAUCACCUGUGUCAAGAAAUGGAAUCUCGGUUGGCAGAUGGCCAACUUCUGUUGGAAUUUGAGUUAAUUCCCAGACGUAAGGCUGGUGCGGAUUUUAGCAUGGCGGUUCAUCCAGAUAACCUCUGCCGCAACCAGUAUCAAGAUGUUUUGCCUUACGAAGAGAACAGAGUUAAGUUGACACCUAGCCGAGACAACCGAACUGGGUACAUUAAUGCAUCACACAUCUCAGCUGCCGUGGGGUUGGCUCAGCGCUUCAACAUUGCAGCUCAAGGCCCACUACCAUCAACAGUGUCUGAUUUUGGUAGAUGGUCUGGCAGUGUGACGUCUAUGUUAUUGUCAUGCUAGCCGAUACUACUUCUAGUAAUAAUGGCGGCCAACAAACCCCUUCUCUCAACACCAAAUCGGUCAACACGUUGAGAAGCCAUGUCAGCCAUAGUAGUAUGAAUGGCUACAGUGGAUUUAUGUAUUGGCCACAGCAAGAUGCUGCUACCUUAGAAUUUGUAUAAAAUAACUUGACAAGUUAGCAAACUCUCUGCCGGACGUCAAUCUAUCACAAAAUUGGAUGUAAUUCACUUGCCCACGUCUCAGCAGCGUAGCAUUUGGCAUCUUCAGUAUUCUGACUGGGCUGAUCAUGGAUGCCCAAGAGACGUGACCUCUUUUGGGAUGUCACCAAUACCAAGGUAACAAGUUUUGAGGACUUCUGUCUGAAGCGUGAACUGUUGAUGGGUAUUUUUGAGAAGGGAUGGGAGACUCCGGUUCUUAAACUAUAAAAA
rnacentral:sRNA from 1 species